rnacentral:rRNA from 1 species
UGGGGAAUAUUGGACAAUGGGGGAAACCCUGAUCCAGCGACGCCGCGUGGGUGAAGAAGGCCUGCGGGUUGUAAAGCCCUUUCGUUGGGGAAGAAAUGUUUCAACCUAAUACGUUGGAAUCUUGACGUUACCCAAAGAAGAAGCACCGGCUAACUCUGUGCCAGCAGCCGCGGUAAUACAGAGGGUGCGAGCGUUAAUCGGAAUUACUGGGCGUAAAGCGUGCGUAGGCGGUACAGUCAGUCAGAUGUGAAAUCCCUGGGCUUAACCUAGGAACUGCAUUUGAUACUGCUGAACUAGAGUAUGGUAGAGGGAGGUGGAAUUCCUCGUGUAGCGGUGAAAUGCGUAGAGAUGAGGAGGAACACCAGUGGCGAAGGCGGCCACCUGGACAGUAACUGACGCUGAGGCGCGAAAGUGUGGGUAGCAAACAGG